GAUGAACGCUGGCGGCGUGCCUAAUACAUGCAAGUCGAGCGAACAGAGGAGGAGCUUGCUCCUCUGACGUUAGCGGCGGACGGGUGAGUAACACGUGGAUAACCUACCUAUAAGACUGGGAUAACUUCGGGAAACCGGAGCUAAUACCGGAUAAUAUAUUGAACCGCAUGGUUCAAUAGUGAAAGACGGUUUUGCUGUCACUUAUAGAUGGAUCCGCGCCGCAGUAGCUAGUUGGUAAGGUAACGGCUUACCAAGGCAACGAUGCGUAGCCGACCUGAGAGGGUGCACGGACACUCUAAAAGAGACACGGGCCACAGUCCUAUGGGAGACGCAAGAGGGGAAAAUUUUCCGAUGGGGGCAAGAGUGAUACAGCGCAGCCGCGCGUGAGAGGAGGGUCUUUGGAUAUCAAAAAACUCUGUUAUGAGAGGAAAACAAGUGUGUAAGUACCUAUGCGUGUCUACGCUAUACACAAACAGAGAGCCGGGUAACUCCGUG
rnacentral:rRNA from 1 species